GCUCAGGAUGAACGCUAGCGGCAGGCCUAACACAUGCAAGUCGAGGGGUAAGGUUCAGCUUGCUGAAUACACGACCGGCGCACGGGUGAGUAACACGUUUGCAACCUUCCUCUAACUGGAGAAUAGCCCGAAGAAAUUCGGAUUAAUACUCCAUAAAGUCAAUUUAAGGCAUCUUUUAUUGAUUAAAGCUCCGGCGGUUAGAGAUGGGCAUGCGUGUCAUUAGCUAGUUGGUGAGGUAACGGCUCACCAAGGCCACGAUGACUAGGGGGUCUGAGAGGAUGAUCCCCCACACUGGUACUGAGACACGGACCAGACUCCUACGGGAGGCAGCAGUGAGGAAUAUUGGGCAAUGGACGCAAGUCUGACCCAGCCAUGCCGCGUGCAGGAUGACUGCCCUAUGGGUUGUAAACUGCUUUUGUUUGGGAAGAAACCCCCGAUCGUGAUCGGGGCUGACGGUACCAUACGAAUAAGCAUCGGCUAACUCCGUGCCAGCAGCCGCGGUAAUACGGAGGAUGCAAGCGUUAUCCGGAUUCAUUGGGUUUAAAGGGUGCGCAGGCGGAAUAUUAAGUCAGUGGUGAAAUCCUGCAGCUUAACUGUAGAACUGCCAUUGAUACUGAUAUUCUUGAAUAUAGUUGAGGUGGGCGGAAUGUGUAAUGUAGCGGUGAAAUGCUUAGAUAUUACACAGAACACCAAUUGCGAAGGCAGCUCACUAAACUAAUAUUGACGCUGAGGCACGAAAGCGUGGGUAGCAAACAGGAUUAGAUACCCUGGUAGUCCACGCUGUAAACUAUGAUCACUCGCUGUUGGCAAUACAUCGUCAGCGGCUGAGCGAAAGCAUUAAGUGAUCCACCUGGGGAGUACGGUCGCAAGAUUGAAACUCAAAGGAAUUGACGGGGGCCCGCACAAGCGGAGGAACCUGUGGUUUUAUUCGAUGAUAC
rnacentral:rRNA from 1 species